AAUUAAUAGUAAAUUUAAUAAUUAAUAGUAAUAAAAUAAUUAAUUAGGAAUAAAUUGUUGAUAAAUUAGUUAAUGAUAAUUAAUAAAUUAAAUAAUAAUUAAUUAUAAAUUAAUUAAUAAAUAAUUAAGUAAUUAGUAAUAAUUUAAUUAAUAGUUAUAAAUAAUAAAUUAAUAAAUUAUUUUAUUAUUUAACUAAUAUUUAAUGAUUUAAAUAUAUUAAUUUAAUUGAUUAAUUAUUUAAUAUCAUAAUUAAAAUAAUUUUGAGACUUUAAUUAACGUUGUUCUCACCUGAAAAUAAACUUAUUCCAGAAAAAAGGUGGAACAACAGUUCCGGCCUUAUACCGACUUAUUCUAAAAAUCCGAGAACAGUAGUCCUCAGGUGACAAACACAGCAUUUAGGAACAAAAGAGGGAACAUGGGCUUAUUUCCCCUCGUUUCUGAACCAAAUGCUACCUAAUGUAUCUUUAUUUUUAAUUAAUGAUUAUUUAAGAUUAACAUGAUAUUGAAUUAAAAAAAUAAAAUUAAGUAGGCAAGAAAAAUAUAUU
rnacentral:lncRNA from 1 species